AACGAACGCUGGCGGCAUGCCUAACACAUGCAAGUCGAACGAGACCUUCGGGUUUAGUGGCGCACGGGUGCGUAACGCGGGGGAACCUGCCCUUAAGUUCGGAAUAACUCGCCGAAAGGGGUGCUAAUACCGGAGAAUGUCUUCGGACCAACGAUUUGGCGCCUUUGGAUGGGCCUGCGUUGGAUUAGCUAGUUGGUAGGGUAAAAGCCUACCACGGCGACGAUCCAUAGCUGGUCUGAGAGGAUGAUCAGCCACACUGGGACUGAGACACGGCCCAGACUCCUACGGGAGGCGGCAGUGGGGGAUAUUGGAAAAUGGGCGAAAGCCUGAUCCAGCAAUGCCGCGUGAGUGAUGAAGGCCUUAGGGUUGUAAAGCUCUUUUACCCGGGAUGAUAAUGACAGUACCGGGAGAAUAAGCUCCGGCUAACUCCGUG
rnacentral:rRNA from 1 species